AGGAAUCUGAGUUUUUAACUUUUGGAACUUUCUGCGAAAUUUUGGAGUCCAAAAAAGGUUAUGUGGAAACCGUUGGAAGCUUGAAGAAUCUAUUGGCAAGCUUUCAUUUCUUUCAAGGGAAAAAAAGAUUAACCCCAAGAGAUUUUGUUGGGAUUUUUUCACGAUCAAGGAAGCUUUUUCUGUAAAUCUUCUGAUUUACGUUCAUCUGAA
rnacentral:misc_RNA from 1 species